GUGCUCUCUUCGGCAGCACAUGUACUAAAACUGGAAUGAUACAGAGAUUAGCCUGGCCCCUGUGCAAGGAUGACAUGCAAAUUAAUGAAGCAUUCCAUAUUAAA